UCCCUGGUGGCUCAGACGGUAAAGCGUCUGUCUACAAUGCAGGAGACCCAGGUUCAAGCCCUGGGUUGGGAA
rnacentral:tRNA from 1 species